GACGAGGUGGCCGAGAGGUUAGGCGAUGGACUGCUAAUUCAUUGGGCUCUGCCCGCGUGGGUUCGAAUCCCAUCCUCGUCG
rnacentral:tRNA from 1 species